UUAGAUAUAGCGUUGAGAGACCUGGUUUAGUGGGGUUAUGUUGGUGGUAGGUGGAUGGUUGGACUAGGUGAUCUUGUAGGUCUUUUCCAACCUAGAUAAUUCUAUGAUUCUAUGAUUCUAUGUUCCUUCUGUUUGUUUCUGAUAGUUCCACAUGUCUACGGGCUGCCAUGUCUCUUGACUUACAUUAUUUUCACAGUUAGUUUUCAUUGAGGUAAUGGAAAAUAUGUGUGCACAUAAGCCCUUUCAGUGAUAGUUGUAAAUUAUGACUCAAGCUCUCCACAACACCUGUCUGUACGUCUGUGGCUAAUCUGUCUCUGGUUUUAGAUGUAGCUCCUUAAACUGACAUGUUAUAUAGUGCCAGAAGAACUUACCUACAUCCGGAGCUGUACACAGAGGAUACGCAAUUAGGAUGACCUGCAAACAAGUGCAUCUGUCACUCUUCAUAGUGCUGCUUCAUUAACUCAUUUCAAGUAACAGCCUUGAUCAUUGCCCCUGAUUUAUGGUCUCCUUUUGUGAUAUUAGUAGGCUUCACACGAAAGGAGAAACUGGGAAACAUAUUGCAGAGAAUAUGUCUGUCUAACUAUCCAUUUACAAUGCACCAGGGAACUAUGUAUCUGAUAGCUUCAAAAGAAGACCAGGAGUCAGAAGUUUCACUUCCUGACAGAUGACUAUUCAAUCACUGGGAUAAAAUUUGCUAAUUUUGGAUGAAAUCUAUGACAACGUGUUUGUUGACCAUGGCAUGAAUUACAAAUACAUUCCAAUUGUUCUAGAUUUACUGGGAGAAUUUUCUAAAAUGACAAAUGGCUGAGAAAACUAGAAAUCAACACAUGUUAUGUCUUUGUGCAGACAAUAUGGCAUGGAAGCAAAGUCAGUUGCAUAUAAAAAUAGUUUAGAAUGAAAGCAGAAACCUUGCUGCUCUCAUGUUCUUUCGUCUUUUUUCUUAACAGGAAUGAUUAAUCAGUAUAUAAACACCACUCUGAUAUAUUCUGAAGUAUUCACUUGGAAAUUACAUUAUAAGAGCAAUGGAGAAAAAGGUGAGGUUGCUGAAGUUAAGCCUAGAGAGGGAACUGUUCUGGUUUCUCAUUGAGAAUAUUUCCAGGUAAGUACAAUUCUACUUAAAAAUUAUAUCAAUUACUACUUAAGCACAAUCCAUUGCAAAAAAAAAAUCCUCAAUGUGAAUAUUUCAACUGAGUUGGAGAAGGGGAAGGAAAGAAAGAUGAGGCAUCAGUCUUCAGGCAUAGCAUAUGAAUUGUUUACCAUAUUCUAUUAAAAUGUCUACUUCAACUGUGGGCUGCUAGUCCUCCAAGGACUCUGCAAUUAGACACUGCAAGAGUCGUUCCGCUAAUGCAUUGAAAGUUGUCGUAAAAACAAUAAUGAAUUUAUCCCUGACUUUGAUUGUUAAACAUGAGAUGAAUCACCCUUGACCACAAUCUUUCUUGAAGCAACUUAAUUUUAACAUAUCUUGUUGAAAACAAGUUCAGAUCCAC
rnacentral:lncRNA from 1 species